AGCCCUGGCCCAAUGUACAUGACUGGUCUGGCUCUGGGACUGAGCGGAAAGGGAUUAUCCACCACCCGAAACCGCCAUCGUUUGCCAAACUCACAUACGACAAAAGCUCUUCAAGUGGGAAAAAUCUGUUAGUCCACUCCCAAUUUUACGACGAUUCUUGCAGUUUGCAAACGUCAAUUACCAACCCACUCUCCACCAUGUUCUUUUAUUCUGUUUAGAACUAUUUAGAAUUUUAGUUUACAGAAUAUGGCUGCGAGUCUUUCACCUACGCUAUAUGCAAUCUCAGUUUCGUCCACAAAUUGUAAAACCCCCACUUCUUUCGGCUUCCAAAACAUUUGCCGUUAUAAUCCGCACUCUUCCCAUCGAUUAAAAGCUACUGGAAAGUUGUUUCGAGUCCAAGCAACAGUUUUGCGAGAAAAUGAGGAGAAAGUGGUAGUAGAGGAAACAUUUCAACCCAAAACUAUUACUGAUGAGAAGAAAGGAGGAGGAGGUGGAAAGCCUCCGGAUGAUUCAUCAUCCAAUGCGUUGGAGAGAUGGGUUAUCAAGCUUGAACAAUCUGUCAAUGUCUUUCUCACGGAUUCAGUGAUAAAGAUUCUCGACGCUUUGUACCGUGACCGAGAUUAUGCAAGGUUCUUUGUGCUGGAAACUAUUGCAAGAGUUCCCUAUUUUGCUUUUAUAUCUGUUCUGCACAUGUAUGAGAGUUUUGGUUGGUGGAGAAGGGCAGAUUAUCUCAAAGUGCAUUUUGCUGAGAGCUGGAAUGAAAUGCACCAUUUACUUAUCAUGGAAGAAUUGGGGGGUAAUGAUUGGUGGUUUGAUCGGUUUCUUGCUCAACAUAUAGCGAUCAUCUAUUAUAUUAUGACAGUCUUUAUGUAUACAUUAAGUCCAAGAAUGGCUUAUCACUUUUCUGAAUGUGUAGAAAGCCAUGCAUACGAGACCUAUGACAAAUUUAUCAAAGCACAAGGAGAGGAGUUGAAAAAAUUGCCUGCUCCUGAAGUUGCUGUAAAAUACUACACUGGGGGUGACCUAUACUUGUUUGAUGAAUUUCAAACUUCCAGAGCACCCCAAUCUCGAAGGCCAGAAAUAAAUAAUUUGUAUGAUGUGUUUUUGAACAUCAGAGAUGAUGAAGCUGAACACUGUAAGACCAUGAAGGCUUGUCAGAUUCAUGGAAACCUGCGCUCCCCUCAUUCAUAUGUUGAAGAUGCUUUGGAGGAUGUGUCAGAUUGUGUCCUUCCUCAAGCAGAUUGUGAAGGGAUUGUUGAUUGUAUAAAGAAAUCUCUAACAUCUCCUCCAUCAAAACAAGACAUUGGAGGGAAAAACAAAGAACUUAUCUGAGUUCAUUAAUACUAAUAAACAGAAUGGAUCCUAUUUCCUAUAUAUUAUCCUUUUAUUCAAGGCUUCAAUAAAUUCUUGUCAUGUCGAAGUUUGUAUUUUGUGGUACAAAAUCUGUCCAUGUCAAUGUAACAUAAGGAUGUUAUUCUAAAUGAAGAUCAGCAUAACAAUAACGGAUGCUAACCAAGAGCCCAAGUUUCCCUCCAGAAUCCGCCCCAAUAUCCUCUCCUCCAUCAAUUGCUCUUUCCCGCUUUUCAAACUUUUGGGGGCCAACAGCAAUGAAACUCGAUCUUUUUGAUGGCGAGAUUUUCACGUUCAUUGAACCCUUGCUGCGAGAUAAUCCGCCUCUGGCCAACUAUCCUGCCAUUGUAGCAGAUGCUGAGAAUGACUGAGACAUAGAGGACCUGUUUGUGCCACCUCUGAACUGCACCAUGGUCGAUAUUGGCAUCUUCAGGUCUGGUUUUCCGGAUUCUGCCAACUUCAGCUUCUUGCAAUCCCUUGGUCUCUGUUCUAUCAUGUAAGUAAAUAUUGUACCAGACGAAACAAAUGAUCAGUAUUUUAAACUAUAGUUAUUCAUCAUGCGAUUUCAAAUGUUUUAGCAUCUAGAUUAAUUGUCUUUCUGAGUUACUUCCACCUCUGUUUUGCCCUAUACUGGAACACCUAGGAAGCAAGUGGAAGAACAUAGAAGUUAAUAAUGAUGCAAUGGAUAGAAUUGCACAUGUUGAGUACUAAAAACAUCUGUAACUAGUUUGAAUUUGCAUUCCUCUGAACUUGCCUUGAAACUAAACUACCUUGGAACACAAGGCAUGUGUCCCCUUCAAUUGCUUGCUAGCCUUCUGUCGACCAAGUUCAACAAUAUUGCAAUAAGCAUCCGUUGGUUUCAGUCUUGACUCUAGAGUUGAUUGCCUAUAUUCAAUAUCAUUAUGUGAUUGUGAUCAAUAGGUUUCUGUGACUUGUUUUGUUUGCUAGAGAAAAUCCUUCAAGAAUAUGAAUGGCAAAUGAUUUAGACUCGUUUUUAUAAUCCUCAGAUGGAGCUCUGAAAUUUUGCACUCAAAUACUUGCUAGUUUUCAUUACAGUCAUGUGUUCUUUCCCUUGAGAUCUAUUUCCAUAUGUCAGGUCUUUACAGGAUUGCAUGUGGGACAAAAUUCUGGAACUUUUUCUAUGUGUGUAACUUUCAAUAGAGCACAUACAUUUUUUUGCUCUUAAAAAUGGAAAUCUAUGGAUUGAGUACUGGAAGAAAUAAGCUGUUGCCAUUAUUGGAAGGGUCCUAAUAUGACAUAAAAGAUGGUAGGAUGUGCCUGGAUAUUGUCAUAUGGUAGUAGUUAGCAUAUUUUCCUUUACUUUAGAAGUUCUUACUGGUCCUCCUUGGGACCGAGUUAUAGAGUGUAUUGAUGUGAGGAUUACUCCUUCCUUAUAAAUUUUUUGAGUAAUUGAAAUUGUUUAGCAUUCAAAACAAAGUUUUGCUCUUUGUAUUAAUAGUUGGUAACAUGGACAGGAGCCUUUUGUCAACAUUCCUGAGGAAACCAUCCGCAAAGCAUUGAAAGUAGUCCUUGGUAUCUAGAAAACUUAAAUUUCACACAAGUUAAUUGUACUGAGAUGGUUUACUCAUUUUACAAUGUGCUCAUGUAUGUCUUUGCCUUGUCAGACGUAAGAAACCACCCUGUCCUGAUUCAUUGCAAGCGGGGGAAGCACCGGACUGGUUGCCUUGUGGGCUGCUUGAGAAAAUUGCAAAGGUGGUACCUGUCAUCCAUAUUUGAUGAGUACCAGAGGUUUGCUGCAGCAAAAGCUAGAGUUUCUGAUCAAAGGUUUAUAGAGAUGUUUGACAUUUCAAGCUUGAAGAACACACCAACGACAUUUUCAUGUUCGAGGAGAUGACAGGAGUCGGGACCUAGACUGUCUGAAAGGCAUUAGAGUUAAUAGUUUAAGAUUUUCUAAUAGGUUAGUCGUGGUGAAUGUUAUGGUGAACCAUCCUCUUGUUACUUCCUUUUUAUUAGCCCUUCGAGCGGACAGGUGGAUACCGUAUAGUUGCUGGUGUCAUAAACCGAGUUCACUUGAGUUUAAAGAAUCAUGUAGAGAGCCCAUUUUAUUUUCUAGGCUUUUGUUUAAU
rnacentral:misc_RNA from 1 species